rnacentral:rRNA from 1 species
GCAAGUCGAGCGAGAAGGUUAAGAAUGAUUCUUCGGAUGAAUGAUUAACUGGAAAGCGGCGGACGGGUGAGUAACGCGUGAGUAACCUGCCCCAUACAAAGGGAUAGCCACUGGAAACGGUGAUUAAUACCUUAUAAUAUCAUUGUAUCGCAUGAUACGAUGGUCAAAGAUUUAUCGGUAUGGGAUGGACCCGCGUCUGAUUAGCUAGUUGGUAAGGUAAUGGCUUACCAAGGCGACGAUCAGUAGCCGACCUGAGAGGGUGAUC